CGAGCGGACAGAUGGGAGCUUGCUCCCUGAUGUUAGCGGCGGACGGGUGAGUAACACGUGGGUAACCUGCCUGUAAGACUGGGAUAACUCCGGGAAACCGGGGCUAAUACCGGAUGCUUGUUUGAACCGCAUGGUUCAAACAUAAAAGGUGGCUUCGGCUACCACUUACAGAUGGACCCGCGGCGCAUUAGCUAGUUGGUGAGGUAAUGGCUCACCAAGGCAACGAUGCGUAGCCGACCUGAGAGGGUGAUCGGCCACACUGGGACUGAGACACGGCCCAGACUCCUACGGGAGGCAGCAGUAGGGAAUCUUCCGCAAUGGACGAAAGUCUGACGGAGCAACGCCGCGUGAGUGAUGAAGGUUUUCGGAUCGUAAAGCUCUGUUGUUAGGGAAGAACAAGUGCCGUUCAAAUAGGGCGGCACCUUGACGGUACCUAACCAGAAAGCCACGGCUAACUACGUGCCAGCAGCCGCGGUAAUACGUAGGUGGCAAGCGUUGUCCGGAAUUAUUGGGCGUAAAGGGCUCGCAGGCGGUUUCUUAAGUCUGAUGUGAAAGCCCCCGGCUCAACCGGGGAGGGUCAUUGGAAACUGGGGAACUUGAGUGCAGAAGAGGAGAGUGGAAUUCCACGUGUAGCGGUGAAAUGCGUAGAGAUGUGGAGGAACACCAGUGGCGAAGGCGACUCUCUGGUCUGUAACUGACGCUGAGGAGCGAAAGCGUGGGGAGCGAACAGGAUUAGAUACCCUGGUAGUCCACGCCGUAAACGAUGAGUGCUAAGUGUUAGGGGGUUUCCGCCCCUUAGUGCUGCAGCUAACGCAUUAAGCACUCCGCCUGGGGAGUACGGUCGCAAGACUGAAACUCAAAGGAAUUGACGGGGGCCCGCACAAGCGGUGGAGCAUGUGGUUUAAUUCGAAGCAACGCGAAGAACCUUACCAGGUCUUGACAUCCUCUGACAACCCUAGAGAUAGGGCUUCCCCUUCGGGGGCAGAGUGACAGGUGGUGCAUGGUUGUCGUCAGCUCGUGUCGUGAGAUGUUGGGUUAAGUCCCGCAACGAGCGCAACCCUUGAUCUUAGUUGCCAGCAUUCAGUUGGGCACUCUAAGGUGACUGCCGGUGACAAACCGGAGGAAGGUGGGGAUGACGUCAAAUCAUCAUGCCCCUUAUGACCUGGGCUACACACGUGCUACAAUGGACAGAACAAAGGGCAGCGAGACCGCGAGGUUAAGCCAAUCCCACAAAUCUGUUCUCAGUUCGGAUCGCAGUCUGCAACUCGACUGCGUGAAGCUGGAAUCGCUAGUAAUCG
rnacentral:rRNA from 1 species